GUCUACAGCCAUGCUACCCUGAACACAGCCGUCUGAUCUCGGAAGCUAAGCAGGGUGGGGUCUGGUUAGUACUUGGAUGGGAGACCAUCUAGGAAGACUGGGUGCUGUAGGUG
rnacentral:rRNA from 1 species